AUUCCAGCUCCAAUAGCGUAUAUUAAAGUUGUUGCAGUUAGAACGCUCGUAGUCGGAUUUCGGGGCGGGCCGACCGGUCUGCCGAUGGGUACGCACUGGUCGGCGCGUCCUUCCUUCCGGAGACCGUGCCUACUCUUAACUGAGCGGGGGCGGGAGACGGAUCGUUUACUUUGAAAAAAUCAGAGUGUUUCAAGCAGGCAGCUCGCUCUUGCAUGGAUUAGCAUGGGAUAAUGAAAUAGGACUUUGGUGCUAUUUUGUUGGUUUCGAACACCGAAGUAAUGAUUAACAGGGACAGUCAGGGGCACUCGUAUUCCGCCGAGAGAGGUGAAAUUCUCAGACCAGCGGAAGACGAACUACUGCGAAAGCAUUUGCCAGGGAUGUUUUCAUUG
rnacentral:rRNA from 1 species